CAACAUGUAAAAACAUGUAAAAUUUUGUUUAAGACAUUAUUAUUUGCUAAACAAAAACCCGGUUUUGUUGAAUGAAAUUUGAUAAAGAAAUGAAUUUCAGGUUUUUUACUUGCAAAGAUAUUUGUAAUUUCUAUUUUGUGCAUUGCAAAAAUUAUUAAUAUGUAUUGUUCAUUUUUCUUUGGUGGUGUGCUAUUGCUUCAUCUUCUUCUUUGGCUUGCUUGAUUGCUUCCUCCACCCACAGUUGAGCUUCUUGUAUUCACUAAAUCACUGUAAGUUCUUUUGCAAUUAAAUUAUUUGAUUUUGUUUUAUUGUUAUUGAGAUUAGUAUUGAAGAAAUGUGACCCUUUUACUAUGGUUUGAAGAUAUGUAACACUUUAAUAUCUUGCAGUAAUGGCUCGUCUGCCUUUAACAGUACAAAGUGAGAGGCGUAAAAGUAAUAAUUUUGCAUGGACAAUAUGAUUGCAAAUGUGUACAUUUGCGAGUAGGUUCUUAGCUACAUUGGGUGUCGUUCCUAGCCUACAUACUUUUAGACCAAUGAUUAAAUCAUAUAUUUUAGAUUUGAUAAUACUCUGAAAUGACAUAUUUUUAUGUAUUAAUUACAUAUUCAUUUUGAGUAUGAUCCUACUAAUUUGAGCUAUUUAUGGUUUUUUAUCUUGUAGGGACUAAAUUGAAGGUAAAAUGAAAUUUAGGGGCAAAAAGUGUGAAUUUAAAGAUAAAAUGGGCUGGCAUGCAAAAUAGGAAAGAAGUGGUGCUGAAAAUGCAAAGUGUGGAAGACUUGGGGGUAAAAGUGCAAAGAAGAGAUUUUAUAAACACAAUACUCUGUUUAAAUUUGAAUUAUAUUAGGAUUAUUGUUAAGAUUAUUAUUUAGAUUUAAUUUUAGCUUUUAUCUUUAUUUAUAUUUAUUUAUCUUUUAGAAUUUAGAUAGGAAUAAACUAGGUUUUCUGAGUACUAUAAAUAAGGGAUGGAGUGACACAAAUUGCACUCAUCUUUCUGUAAAAAACUCC
rnacentral:lncRNA from 1 species